rnacentral:rRNA from 1 species
AUGUCCACAUCUUGGGUUGCCUGCACAGUGAUAUCAUGUCCACCGUACAGCUUGGGAAGACAAUGCUCCAGUCUAGUGUCAUCGCUGCAUAAUGUAAAGAUCUUGAAGCUCGUUCUCCAUGGUCUUAGGUUAAAUCAUGUCAUUGACGUCCUCCAAUGCUUUCCCUGCUUACAACAGCUUCACAUAAAUACACUGAUGAGCCAUAUUCCAAACAAGCAGAACGACAAUCCAGCUGCUACUACUGUUGAGUGUGUUGAUAGACAUUUAAAGCAAGUAGUAGUGAGAAAUUAUUCACGCAAGAAACCUGAUUAUAACUUUGCCAAGUUUUUUGUUUUGAACGCAAGAGCGCUAGAGUCCAUGAAGCUCCAUGUCCCUUUUAGCUGGAACAACGAAUGGCGCUCUAGACAACGUAUCAAGAUGGAUUUUAAGAACAGAGCUUCUCCAAAUGCUUUGGUUUAUUUUGAGGGCACCGAGUGA